rnacentral:tRNA from 2 species
AGAAAGUUAGUCUAAACAAAGACAGUUGAUUUCGACCCAACAAACCAUAGCCCACCCUAUGACUUUCUU